rnacentral:rRNA from 1 species
UACGUAGGGCGCAAGCGUUGUCCGGAAUUAUUGGGCGUAAAGAGCUCGUAGGCGGUCUGUCGCGUCGGCUGUGAAAUCCCGGAGCUCAACUCCGGGUCUGCAGUCGAUACGGGCAGACUGGAGUUCGGCAGGGGAGACUGGAAUUCCUGGUGUAGCGGUGAAAUGCGCAGAUAUCAGGAGGAACACCGGUGGCGAAGGCGGGUCUCUGGGCCGAUACUGACGCUGAGGAGCGAAAGCGUGGGGAGCGAACAGG